rfam:Triticum aestivum genome assembly, contig: Triticum_aestivum_CS42_TGACv1_scaffold_146402_2BS
UAAAUACUCGCUCCGUCUGAAAAUAAUUGUCAUCAAAAUGGACACAAAGAGAUGUAUCUAAAACUAAAAUACGUCUAGAUACAUUUCCUUUUAUCCAUUUUGAUGACAAGUAUUUCUGGACGGAGGGAGUAUUUG